AGCAGCCGCGGUAAUUCCAGCUCCAAUAGCGUAUAUUAAAGUUGUUGCAGUUAAAAGCUCGUAGUUGAAUUUCGGGAUCAAUAUGUUGGUCGUGCCUCGGUACGUACUAGCAUAUUGGUUUCUCCUUUCUGAAGAACCAUGAUGUCAUUUAUUUGGUGUCGUGGGGAAUCAGGACUGUUACUUUGAAAAAUUAGAGUGUUUAAAGCAGGCUCACGCUUGAAUACAUUAGCAUGGAAUAAUGAAAUAGGACGUUUGAUUCUAUUUUGUUGGUUUCUAGGAUCGACGUAAUGAUUAAUAGGGAUAGUUGGGGGCAUUAGUAUUCAAUUGUCAGAGGUGAAAUUCUUGGAUUUAUUGAAGACUAACUACUGCGAAAGCAUUUGCCAAGGAUGUUUUCAUUAAUCAAGAACGAAAGUUAGGGGAUCGAAGACGAUCAGAUACCGUCGUAGCCUUAACCAUAAACUAUGCCGACUAGAGAUCGGAUGAUGUUAAUUUUUAAUGACUCAUUCC
rnacentral:misc_RNA from 1 species